rnacentral:rRNA from 1 species
ACGAGCGCAACCCUCGUCCUGUGUUGCCAUUUAUGGGACUCGCAGGAGACCGCCAGCGACAAGCUGGAGGAAGGUGGGGACGACGUCAAGUCAUCAUGGCCUUUAUGUCCAGGGCUACACACGUGCUACAAUGGAUGGUACAACGGGUUGCCAAGUCGCGAGACGGAGCUAAUCCCCCAAAGCCAUCCCUAGUUCGGAUUGCAGGCUGCAACUCGCCUGCAUGAAGCUGGAAUCGCUAGUAAUGGCGCAUCAGAACGGCGCCGUGAAUACGUUCCCGGGCCUUGUACACACCGCCCGUCACAUCACGAAAGUGGAUUGUACUAGAAAUCCGUGCGCUAACCUUCGGGAGGCAGCGGCUGACGGUAUGAUUCAUGAUUGGGGUGAAGUCGUAACAAGGUAGCCGUAGGAGAACCUGCGGCUGGAUCACCUCCUUAAGCUAAGGGC